UUCGUUCGGGUUUGGUUAUCCCUCCUCUCUGUGUCUUUUGCUCUCUGUCUCUCUCUGCUCUCACUCUCGUUUCCCCUCUCUAUCUUGUGGACGAGGGUCCAGGUUGAGGGAACGGAGGAGGACGGGGUUUGAGCCAAGGAGGGUGUCGGUUGCCUGCUCAGGGGAAGCGCAGCGGCGGCGCUGCUGCUCACUCCUCCUCACGUCCUUGUCUGCACUGGUGCCUCUGCUGCGCCUCCUUGCUUCCUCUCCAGAUAGCCCAUUGAUGGGGAACUAAAAGGAGUUCCUUAUUGACGACUUCGCUCAAAAGCAAGAAGGCUGACGCUGACCAUGAUCCCAGUUCACAGGCGCCCACGAGCGUGGAACUCGGUGUGUGCGCUACAAAAAAAAGGAUUUGGUGCCUCGAGUUUCAACUUUCGGCUACAAAAAAUCCUGGUGUAGCUUUACUGCACUUCAAAAAAGGAGUAUCAUCACCAGGACAUUCGUGGGCCGGGCAUGAGUGAAACCAAGCAUAUAUGAUGCCAUUGGCCAGCAUGCCGUUGAUGUACCUUAUGUGGGUGGGAAAAGGGGAUAUAAAUAUCUAUCCAGAUAUGGUGCCAUUGCACUAUCAUUGUCACCCCACGAGGUUGGUGUUGGCAUGUGCAUGGAGGGAAUAAUAGAGCAUAAUCCAGUUGUUUAUUAUCUAAAUGGAUCCUUUGGCAUGUAACACAAGCUGCUUUUGAUUUGCUGUGAUUUCUGGCAUACAAGGUGUGCAUUGUUGUAAACAGUGGUGGUGUUUGUAAGUGUAUGACACAUGGGAGCAAACUACAGAAGGAAGGUCGUGGCGCAGCUGAAGCUCAAGUCAGUCCUCACUCCUAUGGGCAUUCAAUUGAGUAGCUCCAAAAUUAAUAAGCUACAGAGCUACAUUUUUAAGGAGUGGAAAAGAAGUAUAUUGAGGAUAAUAUAUCUGUGAUAAUAUAUGUUAUCAAGGUUUGGUUCUCUGUAUAUAGUCCUUCACUCCAUGCAAGAGUCGGUGAUACACAACAUUUCUGAAGUGAUGGCGUCAAGUACUGGCUGAUGAUAGUCCUGAAGCGUGUGGCCAGGACGUUGGCGGUGCCCGACAUGGUGGUGUUCGCCGAGGUGCUCGGGCACGCAGGCUGAGCAUCCGUCUGCUGCUGUUCACGAGACGGCUCUUCCGAUGCCUCACAUGGCACCGACCCAGGCAGGUUUUGUCCCCACAUUGUUCAUUUCAAUCUACAUAUUCUGAUCCUGAUGAGUUCGAGAGCAUAGCUCCCUUGCUCAUACUGAUACAAUGAUUCAUGUGUCUUGGAAUAGAGAGAUUAUGCAACUUGACGAGCCAAUUGAGGUUAAAAUUUAUGAGUGGAAUACUGGUGGACUUCUUACAAUAAUUGGGGCAAUAAAGAAAUUGAUUUCUUUAAUUUUACUGUCUCUUGUUAUUAAUAGUUGUACAAUUGCAGUGUUUCAAAUCAGGUCUAAUGUUUCCUUCACCUACAUUUCAGGAGGCUGAGAUCAUUCCUUCUGAAAUUUAAGCUCAUUGACAGGACAAAUAUAUUUACAGACUUGAAAAACAAUCAUAGCAGACCUUGAGAAUGCUCCUCAUUUAUUUCUCUCAGACAAGGAGAAGCUGUUUUCAGAAGCUGAAGAAAUCGGGAGCAGCUUCCAGUUGUCUCUUGGAACACUAAAUUAGAUUAUGACCUCCAAGAGUCCGAGGGGAAACUAUUCAACUUGAUACGGAAGCUACACUAUAUGUAAAUUGGAAAUGGUUCAAAUUUCUGAUGCAUGCCAAGCCUGGUGAGGAAAAUGAUCAAACAAAGUUGUAGCUAUUCUACAUUUCAUGAACUGGAUGUUGCGAAGAGAAUUUGGUUCAUGUCGAAGAGCAGAAUGUAUGAUUUGCUUGCUGUUCGUGGGAAAAGAGUACAGCGUUGUUGUCGCCCCAAGGUGUGAAUCAUUAGAUGCGUUGUACAACCACCUUCAAAUGCAGAUCGCUAAACCAAUUAUCUGGGCCAAUGCUACCCCGCGACAAGGCAAGAUCGAUCCCACAACAGGUCAAAACAAUGAGAGUCUCCCCAUUCCUCAAGCUCCAAACUAGGUUCAGGGCACUGGUGAAACUUCAACUCCGCCACCGUCUAUAAAUCCUACACCACGAAGUGUACCAUCAUUAGGUUCUACAAUCGAUGGGGUAGUCUCCAACUCAUCUGGAAGAUCGAUGAUGGCAAAAACCCUAAGUCAAAGAAAGACCUGAACUUCUCAGAAGACGAUUAGAUUCUCAUGUGCAUGCUCACACCAAGACAGUUCAUUUGUCAGUGAUAUUAUAUCUGCUAUCGUCCGCACUAUUUCCAGACUGCUCUAUCUGCCCAAUAUGUAGCACAAAGACUCCUUUAUGCACAUUCGUUCUGGUUGUUAAAAACCCAUCGUCUUGGGCUUAACUAUUUUCAUGUCUAGGACUAGGACAACGUUCAGACAAACUGUUUAAGUCCUGUGUACUGCCUAUCACUUAUGUUGUAUUCUAUCUGCAUGCUUGCUUCUUCUGUAUUAUGUGCUUCUUAAUAUCCGGACUC